rnacentral:misc_RNA from 1 species
GAUGAAGAACGCAGCGAAAUGCGAUACUUGGUGUGAAUUGCAGAAUCCCGUGAACCAUCGAGUCUUUGAACGCAAGUUGCGCCCGAAGCCAUUAGGCCGAGGGCACGCCUGCCUGGGCGUCACACGUCGUUGCCCCCCCAUCUACUCCUUCGGGAUUGCGAGGGGCGGAUGAUGGCCUCCCGUGCGCCUCGUCGCGCGGUUGGCAUAAAUGCCAAGUCCUCGGCGACGCACGCCACGACAAUCGGUGGUUGCGAAACCUCGGUUGCCCGUCGUGUGCGGUCGUCGCGCAUCGAGGGCUCGAAAAAAUUGCCGGGCUCCGGCUCGGCUUUCAACGCGACCCCAGGUCAGGCGGGGUUACCCGCUGAAUUUAAGCAUAUCAUAAGCGGAGGA